rnacentral:lncRNA from 1 species
CAUAUUAGGGCUCAAAAAUGCUAAUUUUGAAAAUAUGAGGGUUUGAUCUAAUUUGACCCUCCUUAAACCAAAUUGCUAGGUAAACGAACCCGUUGGCGAAGACGGUUCGGCAAUCCGACGAGCCGUUACAAAGUUGUUAAAGAAACGGACGUUUAGGCUUCGUUACCGCCUGGAGGGCCGAGGCGACGUCGUAAAAUCAUGGAAAUGGAUUUGAAGCACCGUGGCACAUAACCGAAGACCUUUAAUUUUCAGAUCGUGGAUCGGAGGCCGUUCGGGUGGUCGCGCAAAAGAUCGGGCCAAACCGGAUUACGGGUGCGACGGGAGGCCGAUUGCAAGUGUCGACAAGCAAUCGGAAAGCGUUUUGAGGUGGGUCGUGCUCACUGAAGCGAUUAGGUCGCUUUCCAUGCUAAAGUAUAGUAUGUUUACUAUUGAUGCAUGAUAAAGUAUGCUAUUUAAGAAUGCAUGAUAAAGAUUAAAGUAUGCUAUUUAAGAAUGCAUGAUAAAGAUUAAAGUAUGCUAUUUAAGAAUGCAUGAUAAAGAUAGAUGUCAAAUGAAUGCAUGAGUUGAUGUUAAUUUACAUGAGCAUAUUAUAGAAAUGUUAAACAGAUGUCAAAUGAAAGUAUGAGAUUUAUUCUAACCGAGAAUGCAUGUGGUAAAUGUUAACGAAUGCAUAAAAUGCUAAGUAAUGACUACCAAUGGAUGACAAAAUAUAUGCAUGUUGAACAUAGAUCGAGUGGCAUUUGGAAAUGGUAAAGUGGACACUAGAGUUAGUGUGGGACAUCAAAGAAUAAAUGUGAUGUAAAGAAUAAUGAUAAUGGCUAAAGAUAAUGUAAAACAAUGUGAUGAUAAUAAUGUAAUGUUGCAUGAUGUGAGUACACGUGCUUAUUAGAAUGAUUAAGAAUCUAAAUAAUCUAUGUGUAUGCAUGAGAUGUAAUGUGAGAACCUAAUGAUAAUGGUUUGAGACAAGGCAAAGCAAUGUGAUGUAAAGAAUAAUGAUAAUGGCUAAAGGCGAUGUAAAGUAAUGUGGCAUAAAGAGCAAGCAAAGUGUAAAGAACAAUGAUAAUGGCUAGAGUUAGCAACCAAUGUGACAUAAAGAACACUAGAGUUAGUGUGUGGCAAUAAAAGAACAAGUGUGAUAUCAAGAAUGACAAUUACUAAAGUAAUUGAUAAUUGUGGUAUAAAGAAUAAUGAUUGCUAGAGUUAGCAACUAAUGUGAUGUAAAGAACACUAGAGUUAGUGUAAAACCAUGAUCCAACUACAUAUCCUUAGAGUUAAGGAUUGAUCAUACUUGCUAUGAGUUCCGUGCUCGAGGGCGGUCGCUCCCCCUCGAGCGAUGCGCUCCGGAGUUUGGCAUCCGGGUUGGAGUAGACCCGUAAGGACGGUCCUAGCUGGUGAGUUCCUGCGAUGAUGGACUUAAUGUGAAGCAAGUUAAUGUGGCGAAACCCCCGGGUUAGCCGUGAGAUUAAAGAACAAAGAACAAAAAGGAAUCAUGAAUUGGAAAGUGGAUCUUGUAUUCAUUAUGAAUUGACUCAAGACGGAGUCGAGUGGCAUAGUUGGCUAAAGUAAAGGUGACAAUUGAGAAAGAAUGACAAUUGAGAAACGUUUGUUAAUGUUAUAAAGAAUGGCAAAAGUGUAUAAUGCGCCUAAGGUGCGAGUGCCCUUAAUAAAGAAUAAAGAAUAAAGAAUAAAGAAUAAAGAAUAAAGAAUAAAGAGUAAAGAAUGGCUAAUGAUAAAGAAUAGCAAAUUCUAAAGAAAGUCUAAUGGUAAAGAAUAACUAAGAGUUGCAUAAUUUGCAUAUUUGUGAGGCAUGAACAUGUAUUGCAUGAUGUUAUAUGUAUAUAUAUCUGUUGGACUAACAUGUUGCAGUGCCUCCUUUGGACCUGGUGGGUUGAGCUUUUCACUUGGGUGGCUGUACCCACUGACGACUAUGGACAAUAGUCUCACCCCCGUGUUGUUGUUUUUGGGGGUACAGGUUCACACGCGAGCGGCGCGGCGGCGCGAGGAAAGGGCGUAGCUCCGUAGUUAGCGCCCUACCACAGAGACCAGAUAGCAGCACCCUGAGUCGGCUUCUUAGGGGUAUAAGAAAAGAAAAGAAAAGAAUUGAUGUUGUAAUAUUAUGUUUAGAAAUCGAUUGUAUAUUUGGAAGUUGAGAAUCAAUGUAAUGAAAAAUGCGAUGUAAAAUGAUGAGAUGAAUGAUUGUAAUAACAUAGGAUGUGUUAUGUUGUUUGAUACCUUCCUUAUGCAAUCGUUGUUGAAAAAUUGUUCCUGUUUGGAACCUCUUGUACUUGGAUUGAUUGCGACGCCUUGAACGUACAGGGGAGACUCUGUCCGCGUGUAGGGAAAACCCUGUCCGUUCGGCGGUCUGUUGGCGUGCCCGAAUCCGACCAAAGAGGCGGGCUCGGGGCGUGACAGAUAAGAUGGUAUCAGAGCAUAAAGUAGAGAAUGGGAAAGUGGUUUAGAUGAACCUAGGAGACCCUAGGAUAGUAAACCAUAGGAGAUUAAGGCUCGUGAGAGACGAGGACUUGUGGCUUUGGCGAAAGGUUAAGGGAUUGGGUUGUGUUGUAAACCUCUAAAAAGGAGAUUAGAGGUGGAUUCAAGGUGUGGUCUACUCUCAACCGAGGGUGUUCAUGUUGGACGCGUACAACAUGAAACCGAGUGAUGAGAAUAGAUGACCUUGUAUGACUUUCGCCUGAUUUGAGUUGAUGUCAGUUGUCUCGUACUCGACCUAGAAGGUUGAGAGUUAGUUGAGUUGUUAUGUUCUAGGUAACGAUGGCACUGCGUAGGCGAUCUUCGUUUAGAUCGACGCGGGGUGGGACAAGUGAUGUCCCAGAGCAAUCCAAGGCGAGCGGAGAUUUGGAACUUCGCGAACAGUUGGCCACACUUGUGGGUGUGGUGAGGCAACGAGCAGAUGUGGUGCAGCGGCAGCAGGAGGCUGUUAUGCACCAGGAGGAGCGAAUUAAGAGACUCCUGAAAAGUUGUAGGUGUAAUAUACCGAAACUUCGGUAAGCGAACAUCGAACCUUGGUCAAAUUAACCAAAGAGCGAGGUUGGUACACUUCGGAAAGGCCGAAGGCAUCAAAUAAUGCAAAAGUGCGUUACUGGGGAUCUUCGAGAGCUUUGGGAAUCAAAAUCUGCAAAUUGCAGGUUUUCUGCUCUCGGGGACCGGUCUCUGGUGGGAGAGACCGGUCCCCGCACGCGCAGACAGCGAAAGGGAGGAAAAAAAAAAAAAGGCUAAGUCCCCGGUGGACAGCUCUCGGGAACCGGUCCCUGCAGGGAGAGACCGGUCCCGAAGAGACCGGUCCCAUCGGGGGAGACCGGAUGCAUCGUGCGUGAGCCCUGCUGACCGCGGGGAGAGCUCUCGGAGACCGGUCCCUCGUCGGGGAGACCGGUCCCCGAACCUGAGAGUGGCCCAGUCAGGGCAGUGUAAAAGAGUAAAAGUUGAGAGGCUUGUUUGCACUUAUGCAACAUGUGGGGCUAUGUGAGGAGUAUGAGAGCUCUUUUCUCUCAUUUCUCAUCCACACACCCUCUCAUAUCUCUCUUUCUCUCUCUCUAGAAGACAAGAAGAGGAAGAAGAAAGGAAGGAAAAAGAAAGAGAAAGAGCGGGCUUUGGCAGCCCUCAUGACCUUCAUAAAGUUUGAUCCACCUACCUUCGAUGGAGAGAAUGUCGAUUCGUGGAUUGUGGAUACGUGGAUUGACUCCGUGGAAACGCUCUUCGAGGAGCUGUCUACCUUGGAGCGGGACAAGGUACCCCUAGCCGUGUAUUGUUUGAAACAGUCGGCUAAGGCGUGGUGGAAAGGCAUUCGACGGAACCGAUCGCCUAGUAUUCCUCCAUGGCAUGGGAUGAGUUUUGGGGAUUGGUAUCUUCUACUUACUUCCCCCGACAGUGAAAAGAGAAAGCUUCAGGACAAGUUCAGGAAGCUGCGGCAAGGAGACCGCUCAGUUAGAGAAUACGAACGGGAAUUCUCCCUAUCAUGAACUGUAUCCGAGAUAUGGAGCCUGCUGCUGACGACGUCAUGGCGGGUAUGAGCUGUUAAUGCAGUUAUGUGUUUCUGCAUAAUGUAGAGUUGGUGCAUUGCAUGCAUUGAGCAUGUAAUUAAUUACUACUAUUUAUGUAGUAGCAUAGUAGGGUCCAAGUGAGCGGGUAAAUGUAAACACCCGGGCACGCUUAUGUGGUGAAAGCGUUGCACCUGCCGGUGCAGGUAGAGAACUGGAUGGUACUAGCGAGUUGCUAGUGGUGGUCUAAUGAUGAGACUUGUAGUAGAGGUGGAAAUGACGAACCAACUCGCAGAGCAAUCUAUGUAAUUGAUUGCGAGAGUUGUGUCAUGACACUUGUGGACACUCGAAUGGUUUGAGUGUUCUAGAUGUUGCUCCGGUAGAGCGAUUGGCUGCCAAAUACGGGCGCGUUGGCCUAGUAGUACCUCGAAUUGAGGUGGGUGAGUCGUGCUCGUGUGGCCGGUGUGCAUAGGCAAGAGUUGCCUAAUGCUGGACAUAGUGUGGAGCGCUUUAGAGGCGUGCGAUACACGAGUAUAGUUACUCGUGGAGUGCGGAUUUAGUUCAGCCGGAUGAGUGUGUUGGCAGUAGCACCUGAGCAUUGCUAGGUGUGAAGCGUGCCACGGAUCACUCGUGGGGCUGGUGGCUCGCACUAGGUGCAUAGGAGCCGAUAGUGGUACGUAUUGUGCUAUAGAGCGUGUAGUGCGAUUGAUAGUAUACUGAGAGUGCGAGUGUGACCCAACCCGGGAAUCUGUAACGGUUUGGGAUCUUAGUUGCUCCUGGUUGGAGUGUGUGCGAAUUCCCAAGUGAGAAUUUCGCCCCAAUGAUGAUUGGGUCUGCAUUGCGAGCGAGAGACGCUGCGUAUUGAGAAAGGUUUAGGUGGUAGGCCUACAUAGUAUUGGUGGCCUUUGGACCACCAGUGGAAACCGAGGAAAGCGAUUUGGCGGAUAGACUUAUCGAGAGGUUUGACUCGAAUUCACGAACAAAGUGUUCUUGUGAGCUCUUUGCAGAAAUGGUUUGACGUUGACCAUGGCAUAUGGUAUUGAAAAAUGAAGUGCUCUUGGAGAGACCUUGAGCUUAUGGCAAGCCACGUGGAAUUUGAGAACUGGAAGUGGGGAUGUGCCGAAGUGGGCCAUCUCACUUAGAGCAAAAAGUCGGGGCGGAAUUAGAGCACUCGCGGUGAAGCGAUGCACUAGUGAUGUUGCUUUUAAGCAAUGUUGGAGAUAGAAUCGGAGUGUAUUCCCUGAGGGGAAAGUAAAUGCGAAGAAGAGUUCUUGUAUGCCAAAUGACAAGUGGUAUUGGACCGCGUGAAGUCGUUGAGUUUCGACUUGCGCCGCCACCAAGAGUGAUGGAUACCCUAAUGCACUUUGUGAGAUGCGCCUUGCAAAUUUGGAUGCAUUUAGUAUCAUGAACUCCGUGGUAGUCCUCUUGGAUAGUUCCAAGGAGUGUGAAGCCAUUCCGAAGUGGAAAGCGUAUUGGUGCUCUCAAUUACUCGAGGAGCUGAAUCGAGUUGUGGUUUGAAUUUCGCGGACGAAAUUCUUUUAAGGGGUGGAGAAUGUAAUAUACCGAACUUCUAAAUUCACGAAGUUACGAUGUAAGUUAGCUUAGAAAGCCAUUGGAAUCGUCCCGGCGAAGUUCGGGAGCAUUCGGGUGCUUCGGUGCGCAUAGGGCGCGAAAACGGAGCCGAAAGGCUAUGUUGGACCGUGAGUUAAAUCCGGCAUUAGCGUGGAUGAAAAGAUGAUGAAAACAUGUUCGAAAACAUAUUUGGAGAGUCUCGGUUCGAUUUGAAAUGAAUCAGAGGUCAAACGAGCGAAAACGAGCGAAAACGGAGCUAAAAUGGUGAAAAAGCUGAAAAUUUGGCUAAGUCCUUGAAGGCUGAUUUCUGGACCUUCGGGGACCGGUCUCUCAGUCAAGGACCGGUCUCUCAGGGACCGGUCUCUCAUCGCAAGGACCGGUCCCCGAAGCCCGAAAAUGCCCAGUUCGGGCUGUUGUGAGAAAUGCAUUGUUGAGGGUGUUUUCAGCAAUUUUGCACUAAUAGAGGCUAUUAGAUGGUGGAAUGAGAUCUUUCUCUCAUUUCUCUCACUCUCCCACACCAAAACCUCUCCCUCUCUCUCUCUAGAAAGAAAAGAAGGAGAAGAAGAGGGGAAAGAAAGGGAAGAAGAAGAUGAAGGAGAAGAGGCCAAGAAGAUAGAGUUUCAUCUUCAUCUCCUUCCUUGAGCCAUAGGAGCAAGCUUAGAGAGGUAAGCCUUAUGCUCUCUAAUGGUAGACUUCUAGAACUUGGUUUAUAUGUUCUAGAAUUGGAUUUUAUGUACUCCUAGCAUGUCAAAUAGAUGAUAAAUGCUUGGAUCAUGAGAUGAAAUGGUAGAUUUUGCAAUAGUUGCAUAUUAGGGCUCCAAAAAGGGGGUUUUUGUAGAUAGUUGAGUUUGAUCUCAAUUGACCCUCUAUAAACCUAAUUGGGGGUAUAACGAACGCGUUGGUGCGCUCGGUUCGACAAUCCGACGAGUGUACGCAAAGUUAUUGACGAAACAAUCUGUUUUGGUACAGAUAACUGCAGCACGCGGGAUAAGCCUCCAAAAAUCAUGAGAAUGGAUCGGGAGCAUCGUGGUGUCGGGGAAUAAACUCCCGAACAGACGGAUCGCGAAUUGGUGGCCGUUCGGGUGGUCGCACAAGAGUUCGGGCCAGACCGGGUUACGGAUGCCGCGGGAGGCCGAUUGCAAGUGUCGACAAGCAAUCGGAAAGCGUUUUGAGGUGGGUUGUGCUCACCGAAGCGAUUAGGUCGCUUUCCAUGCCAAAGUGUAGUAUGUUUACUAUUGAUGCAUGAUAAAGUAUGCUAUUUGAGAAUGCAUGAUAAAGUAUGCUAUUUAAGAAUGCAUGAUAAAGAUAGAUGCCAAAUGAAUGCAUGAGUUGAUGUUAAUUUACAUGUGCAUAUUAUAGAAAUGCUAAAUAGAUGUCAAAUGAAAGUAUGAGAUUUAUACUAACCGAGAAUGCAUGUAGUAAAUGUUAACGAAUGCAUAAAAUGCUAAGUAAUGACUACCAAUGGAUGACAAAAUAUAUGCAUGUUGAACAUAGAUCGAGUGGCAUUUGGAAAUGGUAAAGUGGACACUAGAGUUAGUGUGGGACAUCAAAGAAUAAAUGUGAUGUAAAGAAUAAUGAUAAUGGCUAAAGAUAAUGUAAAACAAUGUGAUGAUAAUAAUGUAAUGUUGCAUGAUGUGAGUACACGUGCUUAUUAGAAUGACUAAGAAUCUAAAUAAUCUAUAUGUAUGCAUGAGAUGUAAUGUGAGAACCUAAUGAUAAUGGCUUGAGACAAGGCAAAGCAAUGUGAUGUAAAGAAUAAUGAUAAUGGCUAGAGGCGAUGUAAAGUAAUGUGGCAUAAAGAACAAGCAAAGUGUAAAGAACAAUGAUAAUGGCUAGAGUUAGCAACCAAUGUGACAUAAAGAACACUAGAGUUAGUGUGUGGCAAUAAAAGAACAAGUGUGAUAUCAAGAAUGACAAUUACUAAAGUAAUUGAUAAUUGUGGUAUAAAGAAUAAUGAUUGCUAGAGUUAGCAACUAAUGUGAUGUAAAGAACACUAGAGUUAGUGUAAAACCAUGAUCCAACUACAUAUCCUUAGAGUUAAGGAUUGAUCAUACUUGCUAUGAGUUCCGUGCUCGAGGGCGGUCGCUCCCCCUCGGGCGAUGCGCUCCGGAGUUUGGCAUCCGGGUUGGAGUAGACCCGUAAGGACGGUCCUAGCUGGUGAGUUCCUGUGAUGAUGGACUUAAUGUGAAGCAAGUUAAUGUGGCGAAACCCCCGGGUUAGCCGUGAGAUUAAAGAACAAAGAACAAAAA